GCUUCGAUAGCUCAGUUGGUAGAGCGGUGGACUGUAGUGGCUUCGCAUUUGUGGAUAUCCAUAGGUCGCUGGUUCAAAUCCGGCUCGAAGGA
rnacentral:tRNA from 2 species